GGGCAUAUGGUGUAGGGGUUAUCACGUUCGCUUUGCAUGGUCAUCCACAUGUAAUAGUUUAUGCGAAAGGUCUCCGGUUCAAAUCCGGAUUUGUCCA